rnacentral:tRNA from 1 species
AGCAGCGUGGCUCAGUGGAAAGAGCCUGGGCUUUGGAGUCAGAGGUCAUGGGUUCGACUCCCGGCUCUACCA